rnacentral:rRNA from 1 species
UUUAAAGAGAGUUUGAUCCUGGCUCAGGACGAACGCUGGCGGCGUGCCUAAUACAUGCAAGUCGAACGAACGGAGGAAGAGCUUGCUCUUCCAAUGUUAGUGGCGGACGGGUGAGUAACACGUGGGCAACCUGCCUGUAAGUUGGGGAUAACUCCGGGAAACCGGGGCUAAUACCGAAUAAUAAGAUGUGGCGCAUGCCACGCCUUUGAAAGAUGGUUUCGGCUAUCGCUUACAGAUGGGCCCGCGGUGCAUUAGCUAGUUGGUAGGGUAAUGGCCUACCAAGGCAACGAUGCAUAGCCGACCUGAGAGGGUGAUCGGCCACACUGGGACUGAGACACGGCCCAGACUCCUACGGGAGGCAGCAGUAGGGAAUCUUCCGCAAUGGACGAAAGUCUGACGGAGCAACGCCGCGUGUAUGAAGAAGGUUUUCGGAUCGUAAAGUACUGUUGUUAGAGAAGAAC